GAGAGAGAGAGAGAGAGAGAGAGAGAGAGAGAGAACACAGAGAGAGAAAGAGAGAGAGAGAGAGAGAGAGAGGGUACCGUACCAAGCUAAUGGAAAUCUACGUUGCCUAGUGAAGUUCUGUCGCGCCCCGCAGAAAUUAAUGGAAGUGGUGAAGCUGUGGAAGCAGAUCUAAGAUCUUCUCUCCUCUGAUGGCAAGGCUCUCCGAAUUCCAAAUCUGCCU